AUGGCUGUUGCCAGUUCCAGGUCAGAACCAGAACCAGAAUAUUCAUAUAUCAGUAUUACUAGUAAGUCGGACCUGUUCCCAGUGAGGGUUGGACUCCGCCAGGGCUGCCCUUUGUCACCGGUUCUGUUCAUCACUUUUAUGGACAGAAUUUCUAGACGCAGCCGUGGUGUGGAGUGUGUCGAGUUUGGUGGCAGGAGAAUCUCGUCUCUGCUUUUUGCGGAUGAUGUGGUCCUCCUAGCUUCAUCCAGCUCUGACCUUCAGCUCUUGCUGGGUAGGUUCACGGCCGAAUGUGAAGCGGCUGGGAUGAGGAUCAGCACCUCCAAAUCUGAGACCAUGGUUCUCGACCGGAAAAGGGUGGCUUGCCACCUCCGGGUCGGGGGAGAGGUCCUACCUCAAGUGGAGGAGUUUAAGUAUCUCGGGGUCUUGUUCACGAGUGAGGGUAGGAGGGAUCGGGAGAUCGACAGGCGGAUUGGUUCGGCGUCUGCAGUGAUGCGGACGCUGAGCCGAUCUGUCAUGGGGAAGAGGGAGCUGAGCCAGAAAGCCAGGCUCUCGAUCUACCGGUCGAUCUACGUCCCAAUCCUCACCUAUGGUCAUGAGCUUUGGGUAAUGACCGAAAGAACGAGAUCGCGGAUACAAGCGGCCGAAAUGAGUUUCCUCCGUAGGGUGGCCGGGCUCAGCCUUAGAGAUAGGGUGAGGAGCUCGGACAUUCGGGAGGGACUCGGAGUAGAACCGCUGCUCCUCCGGAUCGAAAGGAGCCAGUUGAGGUGGUUUGGGCAUCUGGUCAGGAUGCCUCCUGGACGCCUCCCCGGGGAGGUGUUUCGGGCAUGUCCUGCCGGCAGAAGGCCCCCGGGUCGACCCAGGACACGUUGGAGAGGUUACAUCUCCAAUCUGGUCCGGGAACGCCUUGGGGUCCUGCCGGAGGAGCUGGUGGACAAGGCCGGGGAGAGGACGGCCUGGAGCUCCCUAAUUGGGAUGCUGCCCCCGCGACCCGGACCCGGAUAA
rnacentral:lncRNA from 1 species